AUUGAACGCUGGCGGCAGGCCUAACACAUGCAAGUCGAGCGGAUGAAGGGAGCUUGCUCCUGGAUUCAGCGGCGGACGGGUGAGUAAUGCCUAGGAAUCUGCCUGGUAUUGGGGGAUAACGUCCGGAAACGGGCGCUAAUACCGCAUACGUCCUGAGGGUGAAAGUGGGGGAUCUUCGGACCUCACGCUAUCAGAUGAGCCUAGGUCGGAUUAGCUAGUUGGUGGGGUAAAGGCCUACCAAGGCGACGAUCCGUAACUGGUCGGAGAGGAUGAUCAGUCACACUGGAACGGAGACACGGUCCAGACUCCUACGGGAGGCAGCAGUGGGGAAUAUUAGACAAUGGGCGAAAGCAUGAUACAGCCAUGCCGAGUGUGUGAAGAAGGUCUUCGGAUUGUAAAGAACUUUAAGUUGGGAGGAAGGGCAGUAAGUUAAUACCUUGCUGUUUUGACGUUGACAACAGAAUAAGCACCGGCUAACUUCGUG
rnacentral:rRNA from 1 species